rnacentral:rRNA from 1 species
GACGAACGCUGGCGGCGUGCUUAACACAUGCAAGUCGAACGGAAAGGCCCUGCUUUUGUGGGGUGCUCGAGUGGCGAACGGGUGAGUAACACGUGAGUAACCUGCCCUUGACUUUGGGAUAACUUCAGGAAACUGGGGCUAAUACCGGAUAGGAGCUCCUGCUGCAUGGUGGGGGUUGGAAAGUUUCGGCGGUUGGGGAUGGACUCGCGGCUUAUCAGCUUGUUGGUGGGGUAGUGGCUUACCAAGGCUUUGACGGGUAGCCGGCCUGAGAGGGUGACCGGGCACCUUAGGACUGAGGGACGGCCCAGACUCGUACGGGAGGCAACAGGCGGAAGUAUGGCACAGUGGGCGGGAGUCUGUUGCAGCAGCGCCGCGAGCGGGAUGAAGGCCUUCGGGUUAUAAACCGCUUUCGCCUAUGACGAAGCGUGAGUGACGGUAAUGAGUAAAGAAGCACCGGCUAACUACGUG